AUUGAACGCUGGCGGCAUGCCUAACACAUGCAAGUCGAGCGAGCGGCGGACGGGUGAGUAAAGGCUGGGAAACUGCCUGAUGGAGGGGGAUAAAUACCGGAAACGGUAGCUAAUACCGCAUUCCAUCCGAUGUUCCCGAAGGGGAUUCGCUAGUGGGUCGGGUAAUGGCUCACCUAGGCGACGAUCCAUAGCUGGUCUGAGAGGGUGACCAGCCACACUGGAACUGAGACACGGUCCAGACUCCUACGGGAGGCAGCAGUGGGGAAUAUUGCACAAUGGGCGCAAGCCUGAUGCAGCCAUGCCGCGUGUGUGAAGAAGGCCUUCGGGUUGUAAAGCACUUUCAGCGGGGAGGCGUUACCCACAGAGGAAGCACCGGCUAACUCCGUGCCAGCAGCCGCGGUAAUUC
rnacentral:rRNA from 1 species